rnacentral:rRNA from 1 species
UACGAAGGGGGCUAGCGUUGCUCGGAUUGACUGGGCGUAAAGGGCGCGUAGGCGGCUCAUGAAGGCUGUGGUGAAAGUCCGGGGCUCAACCUCGGAUCGGCCGUGGCGACUCGUGGGCUGGAGCACUGUAGAGGCGGGUGGAAUUCCGGGUGUAGCGGUGGAAUGCGUAGAGAUCCGGAAGAACACCAGUGGCGAAGGCGGCCCGCUGGGCAGUGGCUGACGCUGAGGCGC